rnacentral:misc_RNA from 1 species
GACUACGGACUAAGUAGGCAUCUGUAGUGGAUAUCUACUUGGUGAAUAUGUUUUGUAAAUCCUGUCCACCCCGUGGAUGGGUAGUCGGCAAAACGUCGGACUGUCAUAAGAAUUGAAACGCUGGCACACUGUUGGGUCCUGAGGCAACACGUUGUGUUGUCACCCUGCUUGGUGGUGGGGUGUGGACUUUGACUUCUGAAUAGUGGUGGCAAGCAUAUGAACGCCCGCUACUUUGCGCAACCCUCCUUGACCCCCGCCAGGGCCUUUUUGGUGGCCGUCCUCGUGCCGUCACCGGCGACGUCGUCAGUCUUCUUGGCAACUUCCUUGACCAUCUUGGCGCCUAGGUUCUCGUAGGGGUCCUCCAGCUCGAUCUCCUUGGCGAUGGACACCUUUAAUUGGGAUGGUCCUACCUGGGGGCGGUGAUUUUUAUAACAACGUCCUUAC